CGAGCAUCGAUGGAAACCUACCCAAACAAAAAGCCCACCCACAAAACUGAACUAUUUAAAAAAGGAAAUGGCUGCAAAUGUCUACAUCUUCUCCCCAAUCCGGUCCAGUUCGUUCCGAUUCGACGUUCUUUUCCCGAAAUCCCACUUACAACCAAUUUUCAACUCUCCCAGCUGCUCGCUCUCUGUUGCCCGUAGUAGUACUACUACUAGCUUUGGUUUGAGACUCAGUGCGACCAGACUACCGAACCGGGACCCGAAACCGCCUGCCGCCCUUAUGCUACCGGCAAACCCUGUCGCCUCCGAUAUCUUCGCUGCCGGCUUGUCCGGUUGCAUCGCGCUCUCCUUGCUCCGGUUAUGGGCGGAAACCGCCAACCGGCGGAUCUUCGACCAGAAAUUGAAUAGGAAGCUUGUGCAUAUAAGCGUGGGGCUAGCUUUCAUGCUUUGCUGGCCACUGUUCAGUCCUGGUCGUCGCGGAGCCAUCUUAGCAGCUCUUAUCCCAGGCAUCAAUAUCAUACAAAUGCUUCUCUUGGGACUUGGGAUCAUGAAAGAUGAGGCUAUUGUGAAGUCAAUGAGCAGAAACGGAGACUAUAGGGAACUUCUUAAGGGACCACUCUACUAUGCUGCAACAAUCACUUUGACUUGCAUGAUUUAUUGGAGAACUUCCCCUAUUACAAUUGCGGCAAUUUGUAACCUCUGUGCUGGGGAUGGUUUAGCAGACAUUAUUGGAAGGCGGUUCGGUAGUCAUAAAAUUCCAUACAACAAAAACAAGUCUGUAGCUGGUAGUGUUGCAAUGGCAUCUGCUGGGUUUUUAGCAUCUCUUGGGUAUAUGCACUAUUUCUCCUCAUUUGGAUUUCUUCAAAAAAGUUCGGAAAUGGUUAUGGGUUUUUUGGUUGUCUCUCUUGCCUCGGCACUGGUGGAAUCACUCCCUAUAAGUACUGAGCUUGAUGACAAUCUCACAGUUCCCUUGACUUCCAUCUUGGUGGGCACUCUUGUUUUCUGAUUUCAGGAGAUGGAGAGUGCAAAAUUGAACAGAGGGAAGAGGCUGGAGUAAUUGAAUCUAGAGAUCGUUCAGGACACAAUAUUGCAACUUCAAGCGUGCUUCUUUCUGCUAACAGUCUGCCUCAAAUUUCAAUUCCAAGGGAUGUUGAUCUAAACUCAAGAAGAAUUAUACUAGCAAACCUGGUCUAUUUAUUAGUUGAUGCGUCAAGUCUCUAUAUCCUCCAAUGAUGUGUUAAAACUCAAGUCUCUAGUCGAUUUCGCGCACUCCCCUUGCACCCCAUUACCUGGCAUGCCACUUGCAACAUAAAACGGGGCGUCUUAAUUUCGAGCUGGAGACGAAAUUAUCAAAUUAACAGCUAGCGGGGGUGAUUGGAGUGUGCACCUUUGUCUUCCCAAACUGGUCAAGAGGAAUUCAAGAACGUGGGCACAGCUGCAUCUCGGGAGGGAAAGAGGAGAACGGUGGUUCUUCAGGUAUUGGCCGAAGGUGUUCCACUCCUGACUCUUCUUGUUUUCGUAGCAGCUGCUAGGAGCAGAAGCUGUUGAAGAAGAGCUUGCAGCAGUUAAGCUGUUAUUGAUAGUAAUAGAAUCAGUGAUGCUAGUGUUCUCGGAGUUGGAACUCUCCAUUAAUUCUGGGAGUGAAUCCAUGGAUCUAUUUUGGGUUUUUGUUUGGUUUUUCUUGAAUCUUAGAGCAACAGUAGCUUUUUUCCUAGGAAAUUGUGAUAAUGUUGUAUU